rnacentral:tRNA from 1 species
UAAAUUGUCGUGGGAUCAAAGCCCGCCCUUCUAG